UGACGCUGGUGGCAUGCUUAACACAUGCAAGUCGAACGGUAACAGGUCUUCGGAUGCUGACGAGUGGCGGACGGGUGAGUAACGCGUAGGAAUCUGCCCAUCUGUGGGGGAUACCAGUUGGAAACGACUGUUAAUACCGCAUAAUAUCUGCGGAUUAAAGGUGGCCUUUGUGCUGCCGCAGAUGGAUGAGCCUGCGUUGGAUUAGCUAGUUGGUAGGGUAAGGGCCUACCAAGGCUACGAUCCAUAGCUGAUUUGAGAGGAUGAUCAGCCACAUUGGGACUGAGACACGGCCCAAACUCCUACGGGAGGCAGCAGUGGGGAAUAUUGGACAAUGGGGGAAACCCUGAUCCAGCAAUGCCAUGUGUGUGAAGAAGGCUCUAGGGUUGUAAAGCACUUUAGUUGGGGAGGAAAGCCUAUAAGUUAAUAGCUUGUAGGAAGGACGUUACCCAAAGAAUAAGGACCGGCUAACUCCGUGCCAGCAGCCGCGGUAAUACGGGGGGUCCGAGCGUUAAUCGGAAUUACUGGGCGUAAAGGGUCUGUAGGUGGUUUGUUAAGUCAGAUGUGAAAGCCCAGGGCUCAACCUUGGAACUGCAUUUGAUACUGGCAAACUAGAGUAUGGUAGAGGAAUGGGGAAUUUCUGGUGUAGCGGUGAAAUGCGUAGAGAUCAGAAGGAACACCAAUGGCGAAGGCAACAUUCUGGAUCAAUACUGACACUGAGGGACGAAAGCGUGGGGAUCAAACAGGAUUAGAUACCCUGGUAGUCCACGCUGUAAACGAUGAGUACUAGCUGUUGGAUUCGGUGUAAAGGAUCUAGUGGCGCAGCUAACGCGUUAAGUACUCCGCCUGGGGACUACGGCCGCAAGGCUAAAACUCAAAGGAAUUGACGGGGACCCGCACAAGCGGUGGAGCAUGUGGUUUAAUUCGAUGCAACGCGAAGAACCUUACCUGGUCUUGACAUCCUGCGAACUUUCUAGAGAUAGAUUGGUGCCUUCGGGAACGCAGUGACAGGUGCUGCACGGCUGUCGUCAGCUCGUGUUGUGAAAUGUUGGGUUAAGUCCCGCAACGAGCGCAACCCCUAUUGAUAGUUACCAUCAUUAAGUUGGGUACUCUAUUGAGACUGCCGCUGACAAGGCGGAGGAAGGUGGGGACGACGUCAAGUCAUCAUGGCCCUUACGACCAGGGCUACACACGUGCUACAAUGGGUAUUACAGAGGGCUGCGAAGGUGCGAGCUGGAGCGAAACUCAGAAAGGUACUCUUAGUCCGGAUUGCAGUCUGCAACUCGACUGCAUGAAGUCGGAAUCGCUAGUAAUCGCAGGUCAGAAUACUGCGGUGAAUACGUUCCCGGGUCUUGUACACACCGCCCGUCACACCAUGGGAGUGGGUUGCUCCAGAAGUAGAUAGUUUAACGAAUGGGCGUUUACCACGGAGUGAUUCAUGACUGGGGUGAAGUCGUAACAAGGUAGCCGUAGGGGAACCUGCGGCUGGAUCACCUCCUU
rnacentral:rRNA from 1 species